rnacentral:rRNA from 1 species
CCUACGGGGGGCUGCAGUGGGGAAUAUUGGGCAAUGGGCGAAAGCCUGACCCAGCGACGCCGCGUGGGGGAUGAAGGUCUUCGGAUUGUAAACCCCUGUCGGGAGGGACGAACGCUUCGUGGCAAAUAGCCGCGAAGCUUGACGGUACCUCCAAAGGAAGCCCCGGCUAACUCCGUGCCAGCAGCCGCGGUAAUACGGAGGGGGCAAGCGUUGCUCGGAGCGCGUGGGCGUAAAGCGCGAGGUGGCGGCUGAAAUCCCUUGGCUCAACCGAGGAACUGCCUGCCAUACUGCUGAGCUUGAGGCUGGGAGGGGAGAGCGGAAUUCCUGGUGUAGCGGUGAAAUGCGUAGAUACCAGGAGGAACACCGGUGGCGAAGGCGGCUCUCUGGACCAGUUCUGACACUCAUGCGCGAAAGCGUGGGGAGCAAACAGGAUUAGAUACCCUAGUAGUC